rnacentral:rRNA from 1 species
CGUAGGCAGCAAGCGUUGUUCGGAAUUACUGGGCGUAAAGGGCGCGUAGGCGGCUUUUUAAGUUUGGUGUGAAAUCUCCCGGCUCAACGUGGGAGGUGCGCCGAAUACUGAGAAGCUAGAGUGUGGGAGAGGAAAGUGGAAUUCCUGGUGUAGCGGUGAAAUGCGUAGAUAUCAGGAGGAACACCGGUGGUGUAAACGGCUUUCUGGACCAUAACUGACGCUGAUGCACGAAAGCGUGGGUAGCAAACAGGAUUAGAUACCCUGGUAGUCCACGCCCUAAACGAUGCAUAUUUGGUGUGGGCCAUUCAUUUGGUCCGUGCCGGAGCUAACGCGUUAAAUAUGCCGCCUGGGGAGUACAGUCGCAAGGCUG